ACGAACGCUGGCGGCAUGCCUCACACCUGCAAGUCGAACGAGACCUUCGGGUCUAGUGGCGCACGGGUGCGUAACGCGUGGGAAUCUACCCUCAGGUUCGGAAUAACUCAGAGAAAUUUGAGCUAAUACCGGAUGAUGACGUAAGUCCAAAGAUUUAUCGCCUGAGGAUGAGCCCGCUUAGGAUUAGGUAGUUGGUGAGGUAAAGGCUCACCAAGCCGACGAUCCUUAGCUGGUCUGAGAGGAUGAUCAGCCACACUGGGACUGAGACACGGCCCAGACUCCUACGGGAGGCAGCAGUGGGGAAUAUUGGACAAUGGGCGAAAGCCUGAUCCAGCAAUGCCGCGUGAGUGAUGAAGGCCUUAGGGUUGUAAAGCUCUUUUACCCGGGAUGAUAAUGACAGUACCGGGAGAAUAAGCUCCGGCUAACUCCGUG
rnacentral:rRNA from 1 species